AUUGAACGCUGGCGGCAGGCCUAACACAUGCAAGUCGAACGAGCGGCGGACGGGUGAGUAAUGUCUGGGAAACUGCCUGAUGGAGGGGGAUAACUACUGGAAACGGUAGCUAAUACCGCAUACCAUCGGAUGUGCCCAGAUGGGAUUAGCCAGUAGGGGGGGUAAUGGCUCACCUAGGCGCCGAUCCCUAGCUGGUCUGAGAGGAUGACCAGCCAAACUGGAACUGAAGCACGGUCCAGAGUCCUACGGGAGGCAGCAGUGGGGAAUAUUGCACAAUGGGCGCAAGACUGAUGAAGCCAUGCCGCGUGUGUGAAGAAGGCCUUCGGGUUGUAAAGCACUUUCAGCGGGGAGGCGUUACCCGCAGAAGAAGCACCGGCUAACUCCGUGCCAGCAGCCGCGGUAAUAC
rnacentral:rRNA from 1 species